UACGUAGGCAGCAAGCGUUGUUCGGAGUUACUGGGCGUAAAGGGUGCGUAGGCGGCUCUUUAAGUUUGGUGUGAAAUCUCCCGGCUCAACCGGGAGGGUGCGCCGAAUACUGAGUGGCUAGAGUGCGGGAGAGGAAAGUGGAAUUCCUGGUGUAGCGGUGAAAUGCGUAGAUAUCAGGAGGAACACCGGUGGUGUAAACGGCUUUCUGGACCGUAACUGACGCUGAGGCACGAAAGCGUGGGUAGCAAACAGG
rnacentral:rRNA from 1 species